rnacentral:tRNA from 3 species
GGGGCUAUAGCUCAGCUGGGAGAGCGCUGCAAUGGCAUUGCAGAGGUCGGCGGUUCGAUCCCGCCUAGCUCCACCA